rnacentral:rRNA from 1 species
GAACUGUGCGAACGUUAUUCGGAAUCACUGGGCUUAAAGGGUGCGUAGGCGGUUAUUUAAGUCAGGUGUGAAAUCUUUCGGCUCAACCGGAAAACUGCGCUUGAUACUGGAUAACUUGAGUGAGGUAGGGGUGUGUGGAACUUCCGGUGGAGCGGUGAAAUGUGUAGAUAUCGGAAGGAACGCCAGCAGCGAAAGCGGCCCACUGGGCCUUUUCUGACGCUGAGGCACGAAAGCCAGGGGAGCGAACGGGAUUAGAUACCCCGGUAGUCCUGGCCGUAACCACUGAUCACUCGAGGGGGGGGGCUUCGGCCUUCCCUCUCUUAGCGAAAGCGUUAAGUGAUCCGCCUGGGGAGUAUGGUCGCAAGGCUG